UUGCAUAUCAAAAAGCGGAGGAAAAGAAACCAACAGGGAUUGCCUUAGUAACGGCGAGUGAAGCGGCAAUAGCUCAAAUUUGAAAGCUGGCCCCUUUCGGGGUCCGCGUUGUAAUUUGUAGAGGAUGAUUCGGCGAGGGCUCCCGUCUAAGUCCCUUGGAACAGGGCGUCAUAGAGGGUGAGAAUCCCGUAUGUGAUGGGCUGCCUUAGCCAUGUGAAUCUCCUUCGACGAGUCGAGUUGUUUGGGAAUGCAGCUCUAAAUGGGAGGUAAAUUUCUUCUAAAGCUAAAUACCGGCCAGAGACCGAUAGCGCACAAGUAGAGUGAUCGAAAGAUGAAAAGCACUUUGGAAAGAGAGUUAAAAAGUACGUGAAAUUGUUGAAAGGGAAGCGCUUGCAGCCAGACUUGUCCGCAGUUGCUCAGCCUGCCUCCUGACAGGCGUACUCUUCUGCGGCCAGGCCAGCAUCAGUUCGGGCGGUCGGAUAAAGACCCGGGGAAUGUAGCUCCUCUCGGGGAGUGUUAUAGCCCUGGGUGCAAUGCGGCCAGCCUGGACUGAGGAUCUCGCUUCGGCUAGGAUGCUGGCGUAAUGGCUGUAAGCGGCCCGUCUUGAAACACGGACCA
rnacentral:rRNA from 1 species